GGAGAGGUGGCCGAGUGGACGAAGGCACUCGACUGGAAAUCGAGUGAGGGGCUUAAAGGCUCCUCCGUGGGUUCGAAUCCCACCCUCUCCGCCA
rnacentral:tRNA from 2 species